GGGUUUCAGUUUAUUCUGUGUCAUAAGCGGAGUCGAUGGGCCUCAGUUUCCCCCAGGCAGCACCUGGUGGCUGGUCCUUAGCUUCCCCGGUGGAGAAGCCUGACGGCCAAGCCUCAGUUUCCCCGGGCCAUGAUCAGAGUUGCUGGGCCUGUUUCUUCUUCGGUGCGACGCCGGGGUUGCCGCGCCUCAGUUUCCCUUAUGCAGUACCCGAGGGGCCCGCCUCAGUUCUCUGCCCCCUCCCCCGACCCGCAGGCCGGCACCGCCGCCAUGAUGUGCGAGGUGAUGCCCACCAUCAGCGAGGACGGCCGGCGGGGCUCGGCGCUGGGCCCCGACGAGACCGGCGGCGAGCUGGAGCGCCUCAUGGUCACGAUGCUCACAGAGCGCGAGCGCCUUCUCGAGACGCUGCGCGAGGCGCAGGACGGGCUGGCGACUGCGCAGCUGCGGCUGCGCGAGCUGGGCCACGAGAAGGACUCGCUGCAGCGCCAGCUCAGCAUCGCGCUGCCCCAGGAGUUUGCGGCCCUGACGAAGGAGCUGAACCUGUGCCGGGAGCAACUGCUGGAGCGGGAAGAGGAGAUUGCUGAGCUGAAGGCAGAGCGGAACAACACGCGGGUGAGAGGUGUUGGGGGCGGGGCCGGGGCCUAAGGGGCGGGCGGGGUCACGGGGUGACUGCCCGACCCAUCUUUCCCAUCUUCCCCCCUCCCCGUUUCGCCUCUCUGUCUCCUGGUCUCCUCCUCGUCCCCAUUUCCUGGCUGGUCUCUUCCAUUGUUCCCGUCCCUUCCUUCGCGUCCCCUCCGCUUUCUCUUUUCUUGGACCACACUUUCCGUGGCUCCGCUCCGACCUCUGCUAUCCCUCGCUCAUCCGCCUUUCCUUGGCUCCACCUCUUCCCUCAUGUGUCCGGCCUAUCUCUUUCCCUUGGCCCGUGCCCUCUCCCCGCAGCUCCUUCUGGAACACCUGGAGUGCCUGGUGUCCAGGCACGAGAGGUCACUGCGCAUGACUGUGGUGAAGCGCCAGGCCCAGUCCCCGGGCGGGGUCUCCUCCGAGGUGGAAGUGCUCAAGGCUCUAAAAUCUCUCUUUGAGCAUCACAAGGCCCUGGAUGAGAAGGUACGGGAUCGCGAGACCCAGGACGUGGAAGGGAAACCCGCGGUUGACUGGGGCUGUCCUGAGUGG
rnacentral:lncRNA from 1 species